rnacentral:rRNA from 1 species
AACGAACGCUGGCGGCAUGCCUAACACAUGCAAGUCGAACGAGACCUUCGGGUCUAGUGGCGCACGGGUGCGUAACGCGUGGGAACCUGCCCUUAGGUUCGGAAUAACUCCCCGAAAGGGGUGCUAAUACCGGAUAAUGUCUUCGGACCAAAGAUUUAUCGCCUUUGGAUGGGCCCGCGUUGGAUUAGCUAGUUGGUAGGGUAAAAGCCUACCAAGGCGACGAUCCAUAGCUGGUCUGAGAGGAUGAUCAGCCACACUGGGACUGAGACACGGCCCAGACCCCUACGGGAGGCGGCAGGGGGGAAUAUGGGAAAGGGGGCGAAAGCCUGACCCAACAUUGCCGGGGGAGUGAUGAAGGCCUUGGGGUUGAAAAGCUUUUUUACCCGGGAUGAUAAGGACAGUACCGGGAGAAAAAGCCCCGGCUAACCCCGU